rnacentral:rRNA from 2 species
UACGUAGGUGGCGAGCGUUAUCCGGAUUUAUUGGGUUUAAAGGGAGCGUAGGCGGCUGAUUAAGUCAGCGGUGAAAGGUAGCAGCUUAACUGUUUUACAUGCCGUUGAUACUGGUUAGCUUGAGUUGACAGAAGGCAGAUAGAAUUUCUGGUGUAGCGGUGAAAUGCUUAGAUACCAGAAGGAAUACCGAUUGCGAAGGCAGUCUGCUGCAGUCACACUGACGCUGAGGCUCGAAAGUGCGGGGAUCAAACAGG